rnacentral:rRNA from 1 species
CCUACGGGAGGCUGCAGUGGGGAAUAUUGCACAAUGGGCGCAAGCCUGAUGCAGCCAUGCCGCGUGUGUGAAGAAGGCCCUCGGGUUGUAAAGCACUUUCAUCGGGGAGGAAGGCGGUGAGGUUAAUAACCUCAUCGAUUGACGGUACCCGCAGAAGAAGCACCGGCUAACUCGUGCCAGCAGCCGCGGUAAUACGGAGGGUGCAAGCGUUAAUCGGAAUUACUGGGCGUAAAGCGCACGCAGGCGGUCUGUCAAGUCGGAUGUGAAAUCCCCGGGCUCAACCUGGGAACUGCAUUCGAAACUGGCAGGCUAGAGUCCUGUAGAGGGGGGUAGAAUUCCAGGUGUAGCGGUGAAAUGCGCAGAGAUCUGGAGGAAUACCGGUGGCGAAGGCGGCCCCCUGGACAAAGACUGACGCUCAGGUGCGAAAGCGUGGGGAGCAAACAGGAUUAGAUACCCUAGUAGUC